rnacentral:lncRNA from 1 species
CAACCCUUUAACGAUGAUUUUCUUUUCCAUCAAAAUAAUUCAUCGAUAAAUAUUAUUAUUAGCGAUGACUUCUUAGCCAUUGCUAAUGGCCAUCGUUAAUAAAGAAUAUUCUUAUAGUGCCUUUAGAAAGAGGAGGCCGAGCUCUACCUCAGGAGAAAGUUCCUCAAAGAGGGCAAGACUGACGACUUCUCUAGUGCCUGCCGCGUUAGCCUCUUUGGGAUCGGUUGGGACCUCCAAUGCAGGCAAUGCAUAGUAUUUGAAUAAAACUCAAAUAAGAAGUAUUUGAAUAUCUU